rnacentral:rRNA from 1 species
AACGAACGCUGGCGGCAGGCUUAACACAUGCAAGACGAACGCAUCCCUCGGGGUGAGUGGCAGACGGGUGAGUAACGCGUGGGAACGUGCCCUUCAGUUCGGGAUAACCCAGGGAAACUUGGGCUAAUACCGGAUACGUGCGAGAGCAGAAAGAUUUAUCGCUGAAGGAUCGGCCCGCGUCUGAUUAGCUAGUUGGUGGGUAAUGGCCCACCAAGGCGACGAUCAGUAGCUGGUCUGAGAGGAUGAUCAGCCACAUUGGGACUGGGACACGGCCCAAACUCCUACGGGAGGCAGCAGUGGGGAAUAUUGGACAAUGGGCGCAAGCCUGAUCCAGCCAUGCCGCGUGAGUGAUGAAGGCCUUAGGGUUGUAAAGCUCUUUCGUCCGGGACGAUAAUGACGGUACCGGAAGAAGAAGCCCCGGCUAACUUCGUGCCAGCCGCCGCCGUAA